AACGAACGCUGGCGGCAUGCCUAAUACAUGCAAGUCGAACGAUCUCUUCGGAGAUAGUGGCGCACGGGUGCGUAACGCGUGGGAAUCUGCCCUUGGGUUCGGAAUAACAGCGGGAAACUGCUGCUAAUACCGGAUGAUGACGAAAGUCCAAAGAUUUAUCGCCCAGGGAUGAGCCCGCGUAGGAUUAGCUAGUUGGUGGGGUAAAGGCCUACCAAGGCGACGAUCCUUAGCUGGUCUGAGAGGAUGAUCAGCCACACUGGGACUGAGACACGGCCCAGACUCCUACGGGAGGCAGCAGUAGGGAAUAUUGGACAAUGGGGGCAACCCUGAUCCAGCAAUGCCGCGUGAGUGAUGAAGGCCUUAGGGUUGUAAAGCUCUUUUACCAGAGAUGAUAAUGACAGUAUCUGGGGAAUAAGCCCCGGCUAACUCCGUGCCAGCAGCCGCCGUAA
rnacentral:rRNA from 1 species